GCCAGAGGGCAUCAAAGCCGUUAUUGCAAAGCUCAGAUAUACUCUGAAUAGCUAGCUAGCAGCAUGCAGCAAACGAAGCAGCAAACAAAGUUCUCAAGAUGCGCUGUGGUCGGCUGCACAGAUCCUCACAGAUCUAUACAUCAUGUUCCAGCCUCAGAAGAGACAAGAGCGAAAUGGAUUGAUUUCAUUUUUGAAGGCAAUGUCCCGGAAAGAAUUGGCAAAAUUCUGUUUGUGUGCGCAAACCAUUUUGAAUUGGACUGUUUUGCCAACCUGGGUGAAUAUAACGCUGGACUCGCAACAAGAUUGACCUUGCAAGCGGGUUCAGUACCAUCUAUCCGUCGCAUUUCAGACCAGGCAAAUGUAAGUAUUUUUUAAAAAUAAUUCUGGUACGUGCAUUGACCAUUUAGUGUGGGUGGUUAGGGACGUUAGGAAUGUUGAUGGGGGAUGUUAGCAUUGUUGCGUUUUGGGGAACUAGUAUGUGUAAUUUUCGCGAACAAUAACCUUUAGUUAAAAAAUAACUAUAACUUUUUUAACAUUAGCGUGUAAGACCUUGCCUCGGAGCCAGCUGGUGUAUAUAGCUGUAGCAGUUAAAAGUUCGCUAGAAAUGUGGCCAAUGUGUUGAAUUUUUCUGUUGGCAAUGUGAUGCAUUAGGCUAGUCAUGUCUGCCUUGUACAGCAGUUCGUUUGGAUGUAAUAGGUGUGAUAAUUUACGUUUGCAUGGGUAUAUAGUGCCUACCGCAAACAGCAAGAACAUUUCUGUGAACUAUUUCUUAGGACUUCGAGAUGUUAACACUAAAAUAACCUGGCAGUGAAAUUAUAGGCUUUGUGUAAAACUUAGCGACAUUAGCAUCUUGUAGUGUGUAGGAGCCAGCUGAUGUAUAUCAAUCGCUAAAGAUAUGGCCAACGAAUUUUUGUGUGAACAGUUAGGCUAGCCUAUUUUAAUCUAGGCUUACUUAUACAGUAGAUAGUUCGUUUGGAUGUCUAUGGAGAGGAAUUUGUGUCGAAGUAUAUAAUGUCUUUAUGAAAAAUAGUUCUCAUCCAAAAAACAUUCCUUUGUGAAAAUGCUUGUGUUGGGGUGGAGGUGUUAAUAGUCUGCCUGCAAAUAUGAUUCAAGGCAAUUAGCCCUCCUGUUGACACCUUCGACACAACAAUGAUGGGGUCAUACAUGUUAAAUGGGCACUUUUUUUGUUCAUGAACGACGUGUUUAGCAGCUAAGAGACUCACCUGCAUUUACCAAAACAUGCUGCUUACUGUUCAUAUCACUUGUAUCUUAUACCAUACUGUAUAUAUUCUAUUUAUACAUUUUUAUAUUACCACUUUGCACAUACUCUGCACUCUUCUGAUUUUGCACUUCUGGCUAGAUGCUAACUGCAUUUCGUUGCCUCAGUACAAUUUAUAUGUAUAAAUACAUAUAUAUAAACAAACCUAAUAACCAAUGCCAUAAUCAUUUUGAAUCUAUAGUUAUGUUUUCCCCCUUUUUUUUACAGGGACACCAGCCUUCAGCAGAUUAGAGAAGGUGUUGACCAACAAGAGGGUUCUGAAAGAUGUGGGGAAGCUGAGCCCUCACUACCAGACCUCGUUGUUGGAGUCUUUCCACAGCGUCAUUCUGCGUUUUGCGCCCAAAAACGUAGUCUUUCCUUUUCUUGGAAUGUUAUGCAGACUCUACCUGGCAGUCCUGCAUUUCAAUGAAAAUGCUGGGCGUCCCCAAGCAACAAGUUCAGCUGGUGAGCCGCUAUUUAAAGUGAACCUCCCAAAAUACAAGAAGGGCGAGUGCACUGCAAAGCCGGUGAAAGCAGAGCCAACCUUCCGUUUUUCAGGACCCGGCCCCAUAUGUGAAUGAGGUGCUGAAGAUCCCAAUACCCGCGGAUCUCUCUGCCCAGUUUGAGAAACCUGACAAGCGGGAAGUUGUAGCCAGCUAUGUGUCAAGGUUCAAUCGAGGGCAGGUCUGAACCCCGUAUACCUUCCUUGAGCAUCAGGGAACACUCUUCGUAUCUGGAGCACAACUCAGGAUGGCAGGACGACCCUGAUUCUCCGGCCCAGAUAGCCCCAACACCAGCCAACAAAGCUUCUGUACGCCAAAUACCUGUAACGUCUAAGCAAAGUUUACAUUGUAUAAGAGAAUAAAAGGUGAUACACAUAUAUAAAGUAUUCCUUUGUUUACAGUAUGGCUACAGAUGGCACAA